rnacentral:rRNA from 1 species
CGGUGAGUUUGAUCCUGGCUCAGGACGAACGCUGGCGGCGUGCCUAAUACAUGCAAGUCGAGCGGACAGAUGGGAGCUUGCUCCCUGAUGUUAGCGGCGGACGGGUGAGUAACACGUGGGUAACCUGCCUGUAAGACUGGGAUAACUCCGGGAAACCGGGGCUAAUACCGGAUGGUUGUUUGAACCGCAUGGUUCAAACAUAAAAGGUGGCUUCGGCUACCACUUACAGAUGGACCCGCGGCGCAUUAGCUAGUUGGUGAGGUAAUGGCUCACCAAGGCAACGAUGCGUAGCCGACCUGAGAGGGUGAUCGGCCACACUGGGACUGAGACACGGCCCAGACUCCUACGGGAGGCAGCAGUAGGGAAUCUUCCGCAAUGGACGAAAGUCUGACGGAGCAACGCCGCGUGAGUGAUGAAGGUUUUCGGAUCGUAAAGCUCUGUUGUUAGGGAAGAACAAGUACCGUUCGAAUAGGGCGGUACCUUGACGGUACCUAACCAGAAAGCCACGGCUAACUACGUGCCAGCAGCCGCGGUAAUACGUAGGUGGCAAGCGUUGUCCGGAAUUAUUGGGCGUAAAGGGCUCGCAGGCGGUUUCUUAAGUCUGAUGUGAAAGCCCCCGGCUCAACCGGGGAGGGUCAUUGGAAACUGGGGAACUUGAGUGCAGAAGAGGAGAGUGGAAUUCCACGUGUAGCGGUGAAAUGCGUAGAGAUGUGGAGGAACACCAGUGGCGAAGGCGACUCUCUGGUCUGUAACUGACGCUGAGGAGCGAAAGCGUGGGGAGCGAACAGGAUUAGAUACCCUGGUAGUCCACGCCGUAAACGAUGAGUGCUAAGUGUUAGGGGGUUUCCGCCCCUUAGUGCUGCAGCUAACGCAUUAAGCACUCCGCCUGGGGAGUACGGUCGCAAGACUGAAACUCAAAGGAAUUGACGGGGGCCCGCACAAGCGGUGGAGCAUGUGGUUUAAUUCGAUGCAACGCGAAGAACCUUACCUGGUCUUG